UACAGAGGUGGCAAGCGUUGUUCGGAAUUACUGGGCGUAAAGGGCUCGUAGGCGGCCCUCUCAGUCGGAUGUGAAAUCCCCAGGCUUAACUGGGGAAGUGCACCCGAAACUGAGUAGCUAGAGUGCGAAAGAGGGUCGCGGAAUUCCCGGUGUAGAGGUGAAAUUCGUAGAUAUCGGGAGGAACACCGGUGGCGAAGGCGGCGACCUGGGUCGACACUGACGCUGAGGCGCGAAAGCGUGGGGAGCAAACAGG
rnacentral:rRNA from 1 species